rnacentral:rRNA from 1 species
GAUGAACGCUGGCGGCGUGCCUAAUACAUGCCAGUCGAGCGAACAGACGAGGAGCUUACUCCUCUGACGUUAGCGGCGGACGGGUGAGUAACACGUGGAUAACCUACCUAUAAGACUGGGAUAACUUCGGGAAACCGGAGCUAAUACCGGAUAACAUGUUGAACCGCAUGGUUCAACAGUGAAAGACGGUCUUGCUGUCACUUAUAGAUGGAUCCGCGUCGCAUUAGCUAGUUGGUAAGGUAACGGCUUACCAAGGCAACGAUGCGUAGCCGACCUGAGAGGGUGAUCGGCCACGCUGGAACUGAGACACGGUCCAGACUCCUACGGGAGGCAGCAGUAGGGAAUCUUCCGCAAUGGGCGAAAGCCUGACGGAGCAACGCCGCGUGAGUGAAGAAGGUCUUCGGAUCGUAAAACUCUGUUAUUAGGGAAGAACAAAUGUGUAAGUAACUAUGCACGUCUUGACGGUACCUAAUCAGAAAGCCACGGCUAACUACGUG